CCUACGGGAGGCAGCAGUGAGGAAUAUUGGUCAAUGGGCUUACGCCUGAACCAGCCAAGUCGCGUGAGGGAAGACUGCCCUAUGGGUUGUAAACCUCUUUUGUCAGGGAGCAACGCCGGCUAUGUGUAGCCUGACUGAGAGUACCUGAAGAAAAAGCAUCGGCUAACUCCGUGCCAGCAGCCGCGGUAAUACGGAGGAUGCGAGCGUUAUCCGGAUUUAUUGGGUUUAAAGGGUGCGUAGGCGGACUGCUAAGUCAGCGGUAAAAUCGUGGGGCUCAACCCCAUCCCGCCGUUGAAACUGGCGGG
rnacentral:rRNA from 1 species